rnacentral:lncRNA from 1 species
GUUAUACAUCAACAGUGAUUAUAAAACAUGCUCACUUUCAAUCUUAAUUUCUUAUUCUCCAAAAAUUGAUUCGAGAAACUAUAAUAAUCUAUUUGAGGAGUAGAACACAUUCAAUCUUCGAGCUCCCGUAGUUGACAAAUGGGCCUCACUUAACCAGUUGGUCACAACAAACAUUUUGAACCAAUUUCUAACAAUCAAAAAUUAAUGCAAAAGACUUUGCAUACACCAAAAACAUCCAAACGAUAAACUAUUGCAUCAAGAUAUGUAGCUAUUGGCUUUGAACAUGCCUUGGUAGAAUACUAAUGGAUUAACUUGGUUAAUCAUUAAUCACAACAUCUUGAAUGUUGAGUCGUUCUUGCAAACUUAGAAAAUAGUACCCCACACAAUGCCUAUCUAACACUUUCGAUUCUCACAAUCGUGUUCAUUUUGUUGUAAACAACUCUAAGUGUUUAAAAGGAUUCAAGUCUAAAAACAUUUUAAUAGAAGUGGCAUCAUUUUACAAGUGAUCUCCUACUGUACAUGCCCUAACCCACUCUAUUCACUAUUUUUUUCUCUCUACUAUAUUUAGCAGAUAACUCACUACUUUAAAUUCUUCUCUACAAAUUGUACGCAUUUUUCAUCAGUCCCAUCUUCUAUUUAAAUUGAUAUUACACACUAAAAUUUCAACAAAAACUGCAAAUUACGCAACAAAAUUUCAACAAAAAC